CUCUGUGACUCCUACGGGAGGCAGCAGUGGGGAAUAUUGCACAAUGGGCGCAAGCCUGAUGCAGCCAUGCCGCGUGUGUGAAGAAGGCCUUCGGGUUGUAAAGCACUUUCAGUUGUGAGGAAGGUGGUGUCGUAAUAGCGGCAUCAUUUGACGUUAGCAACAGAAGAAGCACCGGCUAACUCCGUGCCAGCAGCCGCGGUAAUACGGAGGGUGCGAGCGUUAAUCGGAAUUACUGGGCGUAAAGCGCAUGCAGGUGGUUUGUUAAGUCAGAUGUGAAAGCCCGGGGCUCAACCUCGGAACUGCAUUUGAAACUGGCAGACUAGAGUACUGUAGAGGGGGUAGAAUUUCAGGUGUAGCGGUGAAAUGCGUAGAGAUCUGAAGGAAUACCGGUGGCGAAGGCGGCCCCCUGGACAGAUACUGACACUCAGAUGCGAAAGCGUGGGGAGCAAACAGGAUUAGAUACCCUGGUAG
rnacentral:rRNA from 1 species